AGCAGUCGCCACGGGAAUACGUAGGUGGCGAGCGUUGUCUGGAAUCAUUGGGCGUAAAGGGAGCGCAGGCGGGCAUGUAAGUCUUUCUUAAAAGUGCGGGGCUCAACCCCGUGAUGGGAAAGAAACUACAUGUUUUGAGUACAGGAGAGGAAAGCGGAAUUCCCAGUGUAGCGGUGAAAUGCGUAGAUAUUGGGAGGAACACCAGUGGCGAAGGCGGCUUUUUGGCCUGUAACUGACACUGAGGCUCGAAAGCGUGGGGAGCGAACAGGAUUAGAUACCCCUGUAGUCCCUGUCUCUUAUAAC
rnacentral:rRNA from 1 species